UAGGGAAUAUUGGUCAAUGGAGGGAACUCUGAACCAGCCAUGCCGCGUGCAGGAAGAAGGCCCUCCGGGUUGUAAACUGCUUUUGACGGGGAACAAAUGUGCCAUGCGUGGCAAGUUGAGUGUACCCGUAGAAUAAGCCACGGCUAACUACGUGCCAGCAGCCGCGGUAAUACGUAGGUGGCGAGCGUUGUCCGGAUUUAUUGGGUUUAAAGGGUGCGUAGGCGGCCCAUUAAGUCAGUUGUGAAAUACCCCGGCUCAACCGGGGGGGUGCGAUUGAUACUGUUGGGCUUGAGUGGCAGCGAGGUUGGCGGAAUUGACGGUGUAGCGGUGAAAUGCAUAGAUAUCGUCAAGAACACCGAUAGCGAAGGCAGCCAACUAGGGGCCCACUGACGCUGAGGCA
rnacentral:rRNA from 1 species